CAAUAGCGUAUAUUAAAGUUGUUGCAGUUAGAACGCUCGUAGUCGGAUUUCGGGGCGGGUCGACCGGUCUGCCGAUGGGUACGCACUGGCCGACGCGUCCUUUUUGCCGGAGACCGUCCCUACUCUUAACUGAGCGGGGUCGGGAGACGGCACUUUUACUUUGAAAAAAUCAGAGUGUUUCAAGCAGGCAGCUCGCUCUUGCAUGGAUUAGCAUGGGAUAAUGAAAUAGGACUUUGGUGCUAUUUUGUCGGUUUCGAACACCGAAGUAAUGAUGAGAAGGGACAGUCAGGGGCACUCGUAUUCCGCCGAGAGAGGUGAAAUUCUCAGACCAGCGGAAGACGAACCACUGCGAAAGCAUUUGCCAGGGAUGUUUUCACUGA
rnacentral:rRNA from 1 species